rnacentral:lncRNA from 1 species
CAAAAAAUAAAGGAUUUGAGCAUAAUUUGCAACAAUUUGAAAGAUAUGGAACCCCAAUUGCAAUUCUCACUAGAAUAAAAAUAAAUGGAUUGUUAAAAUUCUCUUGCAUGUUAUAAUUUACAAUAAAAUCGAAAACUGUAUGUAAAACAUGCCAUUUGGAGUGGCUUUAUUAAGGUCAAGUACAAGUCCCUGCUGGCUUCCUUCCAUAUAGAUGAGAAAAUUUCAAUGAGACGGUCUCAUAUACAAAUUUAGUAGGACCGUUCACUUAAAUCACGGCAUCUUUGACCUCGAGUCAUUCAAAUGACGACAUCUCAGUAGCUGAGGUUACAAGAGAUAGAAGCAAAAUGGGUAUAGGAUGAUGAGAUGUCGCGUUUUGAACAAACUUGAUAUAUGAGGUGUAGUGAUUUGAAUGAAUAAUUCUUUCACGCGUACAAUAGAUCAUCCUCCCGAAACUUCUCUGCACAUUGACAUGUUCUAAGGGAGUGGAAAGAGAUUUGAAAGCAUGCUAUUUGACCUACAAAAAUGGAGGAACAAGAAGAGGUGCCAAUGGGGUCCCUCAGGGCAAUCAUAUAAGGCUAUUUCCUAUUACUGAUUUUAUCACAGCCAAUGAGAAAAAUUCAGCUUGUUUUGUGCUCAUACGUAUAGAUGAAUCCUCCCUUUUGAGUGGAGAAAUUACUUUGUAAUUGAUUAUAUUGGUAAUUUAGUCUAAACUAGGGCAAAAGCUAGAGGCACUGAAUAAUAUUAAUGGAGACUUUUGUCAAAGAGUGAAAGAGAUGUUACCACACAACCAAAGAUCUAAAAGGAUAUAAUAUCAAUGAAAAAUACAUAGAUAACGUGAUUUAAACGUUGAAAGAAUAUAAUAUAUUGCGAAAAAAUCAUGACAAGAAUGAUAACGUGCAUAAAUUUUCCAAAUAUUUCAUGGAAUCGAAAUGAUAGAAUCAUCUGAGCGUAAAAACGCUUCCAUUGAGUAACUUCAACUUCCCUUAAAAAAUGUGUUGUUUUUUCAGUUUCUUGCUGCUUCUUAGUUACAUACCAUCUAUGCACAGAGGCUUCAGAACAUUUGAGCUGUUGACGAAGUUUUUG